rnacentral:rRNA from 1 species
CCGCUGAACUUAAGCAUAUCAAUAAGCGGAGGAAAAGAAACUAACAAGGAUUCCCCUAGUAACUGCGAGUGAAGCGGGAAAAGCUCAAAUUUAAAAUCUGACGGUCGUUUUCGGCUGUCCGAGUUGUAAUCUAGAGAAGUGUCUACCCGCGCUGGACCGUGUACAAGUCUCCUGGAAUGGAGCAUCAUAGAGGGUGAGAAUCCCGUCUUUGACAUGGACUACCAGGGCUUUGUGGUGCGCUCUCGAAGAGUCGAGUUGUUUGGGAAUGCAGCUCAAAAUGGGUGGUAAAUGCCAUCUAAAGCUAAAUAUUGGCGAGAGACCGAUAGCGAACAAGUACCGUGAGGGAAAGAUGAAAAGAACUUUGGAAAGAGAGUUAAACAGUACGUGAAAUUGCUGAAAGGGAAACGCUUGAAGUCAGUCGCAUCGACUGGWAAUCAACCUUGCUUUUGCUUGGUGUAUUUUCUGGCUGAUGGGUCAGCAUCAAUUUUGAUCGCUGGAUAAAGGCUCGGGGAAUGUGGCAUCUUAGGAUGUGUUAUAGCCCUUGGUUGCAUACAGCGGUUGGGAUUGAGGAACUCAGCACGCCCGCAAGGGCCGGGUUUUUGGACCACGUUUACGUGCUUAGGAUGCUGGCAUAAUGGCUUUAAUCGACCCGUCUUGAAACACGGACCAAGGAGUCUAACAUGCCUGCGAGUGUUUGGGUGGAAAACCCAUGCGCGCAAUGAAAGUGAAAGGUUGAGAUCCCUGUCGUGGGGAGCAUCGACGCCCAGACCAGACCUUUUGCGACGGAUCUGCGGUAGAGCAUGUAUGUUGGGACCCGAAAGAUGGUGAACUAUGCCUGAAUAGGGUGAAGCCAGAGGAAACUCUGGUGGAGGCUCGUAGCGAUUCUGACGUGCAAAUCGAUCGUCAAAUUUGGGUAUAGGGGCGAAAGACUAAUCGAACCAUCUAGUAGCUGGUUCCUGCCGAAGUUUNCCCUCAGGAUAGCAGNAACUCAUAUCAGAUUUAUGUGGUAA